rnacentral:rRNA from 1 species
AGAACGAACGCUGGCGGCGCGUUUAAGCAUGCAAGUCGAGCGGCAAGGGCCUUCGGGCCCUAGAGCGGCGGACGGGUGAGUAACACGUGGACAAUCUGCCCCCCGGCCCGGGAUAGCCCAGGGAAACCUGGAUUAAUACCGGAUGAGACGGGACCCGCGAUGGCGGGAUCCGGGAAAGGCGCUGCGGCGCCGCCGGGGGAUGAGUCUGCGUCCCAUUAGCUAGACGGCGGGGUAACGGCCCACCGUGGCGACGAUGGGUAGCCGGCCUGAGAGGGUGGACGGCCACAUUGGAACUGAGACACGGUCCAGACUCCUACGGGAGGCAGCAGCUAAGAAUCUUCCGUAAUGGGCGAAAGCCUGACGGAGCCGACGCCGCGUGAACGAAGAAGGCCGUGAGGUUGUAAAGUUCUUUUCGGGAGGGGAACAACCGUGGCAGGGAAUGGCCGCGGGAUAACGUGAAUCCCGGAAUAAGCCCCGGCUAACUACGUGCCAGCCGCCGC